CCUACGGGAGGCAGCAGUGGGGAAUUUUGGACAAUGGGCGCAAGCCUGAUCCAGCAAUGCCGCGUGAGUGAAGAAGGCCUUCGGGUUGUAAAGCUCUUUUGUCAGGGAAGAAACGGUGGAGGUUAAUACCUUCUGCUAAUGACGGUACCUGAAGAAUAAGCACCGGCUAACUACGUGCCAGCAGCCGCGGUAAUACGUAGGGUGCAAGCGUUAAUCGGAAUUACUGGGCGUAAAGCGUGCGCAGGCGGUUGUGCAAGACAGAUGUGAAAUCCCCGGGCUCAACCUGGGAAUUGCAUUUGUGACUGUACGGCUAGAGUGUGUCAGAGGGGGGUAGAAUUCCACGUGUAGCAGUGAAAUGCGUAGAGAUGUGGAGGAAUACCGAUGGCGAAGGCAGCCCCCUGGGAUAACACUGACGCUCAUGCACGAAAGCGUGGGGAGCAAACAGGAUUAGAUACCCUGGUAGUCCACGCCCUAAACGAUGUCUACUAGUUGUCGGGUCUUUAUUGACUUGGUAACGCAGCUAACGCGUGAAGUAGACCGCCUGGGGAGUACGGUCGCAAGNUUAAAACUCAAAGGAUUGACGGCUGAGAGNGCGACGACGACGACGAGGGAGGAGG
rnacentral:rRNA from 1 species